AUGGGCCCAGCGCCUGGCAUGCCCUCCCUGGGAGCUUGCUGGACCCAUGACCAGGGGUCUGGGAGGGCAGAGGACAGACCACAAGCACCCAGGAUAGCUCAGCACACACGGGUUCUCAGCUUCCCGUUCAUACAGAAACCUCAGACAAGAAGCACGUUGCCCAUUUUUCUUUAAGACCAACCCCAGACCACGAGAACGCUUUCUCUGCGGCAGCAGCACUCCAGCGCCCCUGCCUCCAGGCACCCCCGGCCUCCGCACUCCAGUGGCCCGGACCUGGCUGAGGCAGCUCCUGUGGUAGGUCAGGCCUCACAGACGGCUGGAAGAGCCAGUUCUGGGCUGGGCCUGUGCGAACAGGUGUCUGUUAGUCAGGGUUUUAGGAAUGCAGCCUUUGGAGCCUGCAGCAGGGAAUGGCGGCUCUGGGCCCUCAAGGGGCAGCCGGUGUAG